rnacentral:lncRNA from 1 species
CGAGCUUUCACAGGAAAAUGUUCUGUGCGAGUCUAAAAUCAUCCUGUUAAGUUUGUGCAAAAGAUGGGGAGUUCACCUCAUGAGCUCUGGUAGGAACAGAGUGCCUGUGAACCUCUGGGCAGCGUGGGGUUAGGGCUGGCCAUGGACAGGAGUCUAUGCCAUGAAAAACGUUCAAACCUUUUAAUUUGUUUCCAUUUCUCAUGAGGCAGAAAAAGGAAAACCUUGGGAAUUAUAUUUUUUUUUUCCUGCAAAAUGUUGUGGAAUAAGGCUGUGGAGCACAUCUUUCCUUCUGGAUGCUGUCAGCGAGGUUGGGAAUGUCUUCAGAGCUGGGAUUUGGACCUGGACCUCCCGCCACCCCUGGGCGUGUGCAUCAGGCUGUGGGUCUGAUUCAGUCUUACAGUUUUGAUGUCUCAAACAAAGGUCAGCACCUUCACAAGGCUCACAUUGACAAGUGGAUGAGACAAGCAAGUGGGCUGGAGAAGACAUCUGCCUCCAAUAUCCUGAUGGACCUCGAGGACCUGUGUGUCUGGAGGCACACAAGCAUUGCUGGAUCAAAGACUGGCCGCCAAGCUGUAAUCAAGGUACAUUUUCCUCUCCAGAAAUUCAUCAACAGCAAGGAUCAACAAGAAGCUGAAGCAUCCUGA